CGGGGCGUGGCGGAACAGGCAGACGCAGGGGACUUAAAAUCCCCCGGCCGAUGAGGUCGUAAGGGUUCGACUCCCUUCGCCCCGACCA
rnacentral:tRNA from 1 species